AAUAAUAAUGUACCCAAUUUAAAAAUUGGUAUUUCCAAAAAGGGAAUAAAUAUUCGACAUUAUUA
rnacentral:tmRNA from 1 species